AGUUCCUGGUCUCGAGGAGGUGUGGUCCCCGGUUCAGACUCCUCCCAUUGUUCUAGUCGGAACUAGCGGCCUGCAUGGACUACCAUUCCCAGGGUACCGCGGGCUUCGGACCCUGGGAACCCGACCGACACCGGCAAACGAAGUUAGCUACUGCGCUAGGCGUGGGCUGAGGAAAGGGCGGUGAUGUUGGGAUAGGCUCAUUUCCAGGCGCAAUUCGGUAGCCGCAUUGCACGACGCGGAGAGGAGAUGCUGGAAAGGCUGGUCUCCCGUCCCUUGCUCUCAAGGAGAGCAGACGGGAGACCGAAACCACGACCUGAGCCUGCGCUCUUCUCCAGCCCUGUCGUACGCGAGCGGUGAUUGUUGUGGAACGCACCAGUCUUGGAGGCCUCCCCGCCACCCUUCCCGUCCUCCAGGGUCUGUAGUGCCUUCGCGGCGUGCUACCCUCGGGAAUUAUACUGACUCCCCAGAAAUAAAAUGUCUGACCCCUCUGUUCAGUGGGUGAAUGCCCAGCAGGGGCCGCUACAGGACAAGGGGCAAGGGUUGGACACCCCCCAUUGCCUACCCUCCCCCACCCCGCACAGACGAAAAGUCUGGACUCAUCCUGACUACAGAACACAGGAAACUCUUUAUUCUAGUGAUGAAAUUGAUAGUCCCCAGUUAAUCUUCACUCCGGCCAACUUUAAAUGUCUUGACUCGGGCUCGCGGCCAGCCAGCCGAGACUUCUGCAGCCCUCACUCAUCCGGAGAGGGUUCGUGGUUCCUGUCCCGCAACGCUUCAGUCAAAGUAGCCUGGCAGCCCUAGAGACAGGGCCGGCUGAGCCCGCCCGCCGUUCAUUCUUUGGUUGGACGCCUGUCAAGCCAGGGAAGCUACCAGCACUCGGUCAGGUGGCAGAGGAGGAGGUUGCCAGUGUGCCUGUGUGGACAGAGAAGUCAAAAUCCCUGAGGCUGACUCCAUACAUCCAGGCAAGAAAUGGAGAGCUUCGGUGGGACAGAGGCAGCAGUUCUUACCCUGCUUACCUGUGUGCCCUUGCCCAGACUCUUCUAUCUCCCAAGGGCUGAGUUGUUCAGGGCCCGGGGGAAAGGAUCCUGCAAGUAGAGUGAGUUGGGGGCCCCCGCUAAGACCGGACUCCUGGAGCCCAGCCGCUGUGCAGAGGCACUGGAUGGAACAAGGGCUUACCUGGAGCGGGGCUGGAGGAGGCCAGCUGAUUCUGACUCCAGAGACCUUUGGAGUGGCUCAAGGUCAGUGGGAUCCUGGAUGGAGAAGAAUUACAGCCUUGGCGAAGCCUGAGAACCUAACCACCUCUGGCCUCUCUCAUGAUCGGAAUAUUUUGUAGUCUCCUUAACUCAGGAAAUGUAGUGAUGUGGUACCCUUCCACCUGCCUCUCCUGAGCUCCUCCCUCCCAGCCCAGAUAUCUUCCACUAAGCCCUUCACUCACCUCUGGUCUUGAGGCCAGACCUGCCAGGCUGCAGUGAUGGGAGUGCUAAGGGAGAAGGGGGUGCCAUAUCUGGGCGGCCACAGGAAAAUGCUCCACAGGGUAGGUUGGCCCUCUCUACACCAAGGGGCCUCAGCCCACCAGGGCCUGGGAAUGAGGCUGGUUAGGAGGGAACCUGGUGGGGAAAGGAGACCAGGGUGCCCAGGGAGACACUCCUCAGAGCCCUCAGGGCUCUCUAUACCUCCUAUGGCCUCUCCUUGCUUCCUUUCUGCUCCCCUGUGGCCCGUGGGGGCUGGGCUGAGGGCCUCCUCUGAUCUCAUCUUCCUAGUUAUCCCUGCCAUCUCAGGGCUCUCUCUGGGUGCUUUGCGCUUAUUUAGCAUCUCCUGUUCUCUCCCAUUACUUCUAAAAUCUUUCUCUGAUUUCUGUUUCUCUCCAGGACCCCCAGGUCCUCUCUCAGAAUUCCUCAUGAGUUCCUCUGCCUCCUGGCGCCUCUUCAGUCCUGGAUCCAGCUCAUCUUCAUUCUUGUCCUUUUGAGCUCGCUUGCAUGCCUCUUCCAGGGCCUGCACCCCCAAGGCUCUGGCUGCCUCUUCAAGGUUCCCCAGCUCCCCAGGCUGUAGCUCUACACUCUCUCCAUACACAAAGGACUCCAAGGUAUUCAGACCUGCCUUCUGCUACUCUCUUCCUCCAGAUCCAGGAUGCUUCCCCUCCGUUCUAGCUUGGAUGCAGGCAAGUGUCAAGACUCCCUAGAUCAGACAGGGUGUGUCAGUGGGUGAGGCUGGUGAAGGGCAGCAGGGUGGAGGUAGGGGAAGGUGAGUCAGAGCGAAAAGGAGAAUGCAAAUGACGGCUCAUCUGCUCCUCUGAAUGUUUAAUAGUUUCCAUUUCUGAGCUUUCUAAUUCCUAACGUCACACACUCGGGAACACACUAGAUACUCCUAUGUAAAAGACACAAAGUGCCAAUCCUGAUAGGUGUGCAAACACAAACCUUUGUCCAACACAAAAACACAUGGUCUCUAAAAACAAGAAGUGGGGCAAAGCCACAGUUGUAGAGGGAAAGGUACUGGGGUCUGGCAACAGCCCCAUCACUCAGAAGAGGAAGCCCCUCCCGCCCCUCCCUCCCCUCCCUGCCAGUGACUCAGCUGCCCCACUAGUGUGCUUUACCCACUGAUGACCAAGAAGUGGGGGCUGCUCAAAGUAUCUCUGUAAGCAAAGAUAGUUGAUGGGGGUGACAGUGAGCUUUCGGGGUACUCAAAGGGCGAAAUGAGCAAGGGGACUCCCGCUGAGUAAACAAAAGCCCCCUAAAAAUAGGAAACCCCAUCUUGUCUCCCACUUGGUGUCACCCAUGGUAAGGCUAUCCCCCUUAGAGGUAUUCACAGGGUCUUUGAACCUGAGCCCUUAUGCUGGUAACACUUGAGGCCCUCCUAGCCUCUUCCUAUAGCCACGGAAGGGCAAUCCAAGCCGUUGGGCAUUAAGCAAAGACGGCAGAAACCCAUAGCAAGCACUUAGACUUGCCCCUACAAGAGUAGGGGACACUGCUGUUAGAUCCCAGGCCUUCUAAGUGCCUUUCUCAAUAUCCUGGACAGUUAGCCACCUCCCCUCUGCUCCCCAGCUGUCUAGGAUACAGUUAAGAAGCGGUGCUGUUCUGUGGCCUUGCAGACUCUCCCUCUCACCAUUACAAUACAAGGUUAUCUAGUACCUGGCUCCAUGUAGAUUUGCUAGACUAAAUCACAUGGUAUAAAACUUCCUGCUACUUCAUAGAAACCUAUACAAGUCAGAAAAAUCCUCUGGGAUCAGGUGGCUUUUCUUCAAGACCCCUAUUAUGCUGAGACUCUCCUAAUGAAGUACCUCUCUAGGCUAUGUUUGUUAGUUUGUUUGUUUGAGGCAGGGUUUCUCUG